UACGGAGGGUGCAAGCGUUAUCCGGAUUCACUGGGUUUAAAGGGUGCGUAGGCGGCUUUAUAAGUCAUUGGUGAAAGCUCGCAGCUUAACUGCGAAACUGCCAUUGAAACUGUUUAGCUUGAAUGUGGUUGAAGUGGGCGGAAUACAACAUGUAGCGGUGAAAUGCUUAGAUAUGUUUUAGAACACCGAUUGCGAAGGCAGCUCACUAAGCCAAUAUUGACGCUGAGGCACGAAAGCGUGGGUAGCAAACAGG
rnacentral:rRNA from 1 species